rnacentral:rRNA from 1 species
GAUGAACGCUGGCGGCGUGCCUAAUACAUGCAAGUCGAGCGAACAGACGAGGAUCUUGCUCCUCUGACGUUAGCGGCGGACGGGUGAGUAAUACGUGGAUAACCUACCUAUAAGACUGGGAUAACUUCGGGAAACCUGAUCUAAUACCGGAUAAUAUAUUGAACCGCAUGGUUCAAUAGUGAAAGACGGUUUUGCUGUCACUUAUAGAUGGACCCGCGCCGCAUUAGCUAGUUGGUAAGGUAACGGCUUACCAAGGCAACGAUGCGUAGCCGACCUGAGAGGGUGAUCGGCCACACUGGAACUGAGACACGGUCCAGACUCCUACGGGAGGCAGCAGUAGGGAAUCUUCCGCAAUGGGCGAAAGCUUGACGGAGCAACGCCGCGUGAGUGAUGAAGGUCUUCGGAUCGUAAAACUCUGUUAUUAGGGAAGAACAAAUGUGUAAGUAACUAUGCACGUCUUGACGGUACCUAAGCAGAAAGCCACGGCUAAUUACGU